AUUAUUGUUGAUUAUGUGUAGGCAAAGUUAAAUAUCUCAACAGGUGGUACUUCAAUUUCAUAAGCAAAUGCGCUUUCUCUACUCCAACAAAAAGAAAAUGUUUUUGCAAACUAUGUUUUGUCCAUAGUGUCUCUUUUCCUCAAUUUAUGAACAUGAAACCUUAAAGUUUUAAUUUUUUCUUUUCCAGCCAUUUGAUUGGAUUAAAAAGACCUUUUUCGAGAAAGCAAACACUGAAGAGAAGUGAAGAAGAAUCAACUUUCUGGUAACAGCUUUCUGAUUUCUUCUUUCAGGUUGCUGAGAAAAACCAUGAACAAAGUCGAUAUGAAUAAUGUUGUUUAAUUUUGCACUUUAUUGAUGAGUCCUUGUUGCCAUUAUUCAUGACAAUUAUUUGAUCAGAAUUAAACGCUUUUGUUUCUUGUUGUAUGUACUUUGGCUUGUCUCCCCCCCCCCCCAUAUGCAUUGCUUUCAGUUUCUAAAUUGCUGUGUGAAAGGUAAGUAGAGUUAAAUCUCUCUCUUGAAUCAUGAGGUUAAGUGUGUUGGGGUGAUUCACAGUGGAGAAAAUUUGAGUUUCUACUUUUUUUUUUAUAAUCAUCGAGAGUAUAUUGAGAAGGCCAUAAAGCGAAUAGCCAAAAAGAAAUACAAGAGAUAAAAAAAAAAAACUGAUCUACUACAGCAAACAACAAGAAGACUACCCAAGAUUUCUUAUUACACCAUAAUUUGAUGCCAUCAGAAGAUCUUAAAAGGUCAUUUCCUGUAUAAUUGAAGUUUGAAUCUUGAGAAUGCAACCAAAUAGCAACCCGAUGAAGGAUGGUGGAGAAACAAUCAAACAAGUUUAUAGUUCCCUCCUCAAAAACAAUUUUGUUCCUCAGCAACCAUAUACCCUAAAUAGUACUACUUGAAAUUAAUCUCCAAGCUGAUCUUUGGAAUUUGCCAUGUACCAUUUCGGGCCACUGCAGAAGCAGCAAGUCAAUUGUUCUCGGUAAACAACAUUGGAUACCCCACCAAUCCAAAACUUUCAUCCAAACACUCCUAAAAAAGUUACAAUGUAUAAAAAGAUUCUCUGAGUUUCUACUUAAAUAUAGAACCGUACACAUGGUAGAUUACUUCUUCACAGAUUUAAAUAAUGCUGGUGUGAAAUUUUAUCGCAGUAUCCUUUGCCUAUGUGGUAGAUUAAUCAAUGUAUUCAAUUUUUGUUAAGUGGCUUCGCUUUUAGAGAAACUAUAAUUUGUUCCUUUUUAUUAAAUUUUGUUUUCAUACUUAAUAACAAGUCUUUAUUAUAUUUCUUUUCUAGAUUGAAAAAUUAUUUUCACAUUUUAUUUUUCAAUAUAAUUAUAUACUCUUCUUGUCUUCCAUGUUGGAGCAUAAUAUUUUUUUUUAAAAAUUAUUUUUGUACUGUUAGCUAUCAGCUUUUCCUCAAAAAGGACUUUAAAAGUUACACUAGUCAAUAUACGAAUAUACCGUUUGUUUCAACUUGAAUUAUCGUAUUUAAUUACGUGAUGUGCACUCAAACAUUUAGGGCUCUAGGAAAUUGAAUCAAGUAAAAAAUUUUGAUAAAAAAUUGUACUCGAGUCCUGAGCUUGUAAGAUCUGUAUUUGAAGUUUCAUUCUAUGGUACUGACUUUUUACAUGUUUCCUCUACUGUUUUUCGCCAAUAAAUUUGAACUGUUUCUUUUUUUCUUUUCUUGUGCUUACCAUUGAAAAAGUUAAUCCGUACGCAAAUACUUUAGAAAAAUAAAAGGCUGAAAAGACCACAAAGGGAGAUCAAAACCCUCUUGGCUUUCCAACUCGAUCAAGCCUUUGUGUUCGAUCAGGACUUAAAAUUCUUGUAAUUGCCAGCUCGUAUAGUAAUUUAACUCUGAAGCAGCAGCAGCAGCAGCAGCAUAGCUGCUAACCAUUCCAUGGCAUGUCACAUAUCAGCAACCAUUGACAGUACGUUUGCAAACCAUGUAGAGAGAUUCUUUUAGACCCUGAUUUUUCCUUCUCCUCAUGCCUCUCUCCUAGAGGUCUUAAGAAAUACAUUGGAGGAGUUGGAAAAACAUUAUUAAGAAAUACCUAAUAAUAAAAUCGUACAAAAACAGCUCUUCGAAGUGGACUAUCAAAUCUUCUCUAAAAUAAUUGGCAUUGCGUGUACUGCAUUCUACAUCAGAAUAUUAAGAAUAUAAAAAAUGUUUUAAGCCAUUUAAAUUUGAUAGUUAUGCUAGACUUAAACAACUUGGAUCUGGUAGCAAUGCAGGACUAUAUUUUUUAUAAUUUUUUUAAUCCUAGAAGUACUAAAAAAUACAUAGGAGGAGUUGGAGAAACAUUUCAUCCAGUAUAAGCAUUUGAAUAAUCUGGAAUGCAAUGUGGUAUGCCUACAAGUCUUAAGAAAUACGUAGGAGGUGGUUGUAGUAACCUAUUUUUGGGCCCCACAAAUAAAAAAAAUAUAUAAUAAAAAAAAGAAGAAUUUGAACAGUGUCGUUUUGACACUGUUCCUCUUCCCGCAUGCUGCCAAAACCGAGGGAGCCGCACUCACUGGCCGACCACCCGCCGCGCGCCCACUGGCCGACCAGCUGCCGCAUGCCCUGCUCCCCACACGCAACAGCAGCCCGCGCCCCUCUAGCCUAUAAAUACUGCUCUCAACACAAGCAACAAAGGGGAGUUUUUUUUAGGGAACGAGAGAGAGGGCUGGAAAACUAAAAGAGGGGGAAAGUUUUUUUGAACAAAAGAGAGGGGAACGGGAAAGAAGCAAAAGAAGAAAGGGGCCAAGCAACGCUGAAACAACAGGGGUGGUUUUUUGGAGAGGAAGGAGGAGAAGUUCAGUUGUGAACGGGAGAAGAGAAAACAAAGGAGAACAGCUGCAGUAACACGCCAACUGCACCAGCAUUGCCAAACGCCACCACCAUCCUGCCUCAGUUCAUCACCUUCCUCCCACCCGGCGCUGCUGCUUGAAGAAAAAGGGAGCGCCUGCCUCGCGAGCAGCAGGAGAAGAAGAAGAAAACAGCUGCUGUCAUUGGACUUCCCAGCCACUGCCACCUUCAUAACCACCGGGAGGCAUCGUCGGUUUCCUCUCCACCACCACCAGCACCUCCGCGAAGCCGCUGCAGAGAAGGAAGAACAUGGUUGACAGAAGAAGCAAAGGAAACAGGGGAGAACAGAGCUGAAGAAGAAAACAGCAGAGAAGAAAGGAAGAAAGGCCGAUCACCCUCCCGGUCAUCCUCCGGUCAGCAACCGCCAGCAGCACCGCUUUCAGAGCCACCACAGGUCAGCCCUCUGACCCUUAUCUCUGUUUACUGUUCAUCGUCUUGCAUGCAGAACGUGCACUGUGCACGUUCUGCAAGCAAGGAAAUAAUUACCCGGUUACUGUGUGAACAGUAACCAAUCAUGUGGUUUUGGGCUGGGCUGAGUCCAGCCCUGUAGAAAGUAGGCCCAAUUUAUUUUGGGCUGAUUUCGGCCCAGUUUCCUUUUGGGCCGGGUCUGGCCCGUUCGAACAAAAAUUCUUCAAAAAUUAUUUCAAAAAAUAUGUGAUUUUCUGUAAUUUUAUUACUGUAUUCUGAUCAAUAUCGGUUUGUAUUUUUAUACUGUAAAGAUACAAAUCCAGUAUUAAAAUACCUGGAAAUGUGCUUUAACUGCUGAUUUAAACCUGAGAAAUUGUUUAUCAAACAUUAUUGUUGAUUAUGUGUAGGCUAAGUUAAAUAUCUCAACAGGUGGUCCUUCAAUUUCAUAAGCAAAUGCGCUUUCUCUACUCCAACAAAAAGAAAAUGUUUUUGCAAACUAUGUUUUGUCCAUAGUGUCUCUUUUCCUCAAUUUAUGAACAUGAAACCUUAAAGUUUUAAUUGUUUCUUUUCCAGCCAUUUGAUUGGAUUAAAAAGACCUUUUUCGAGAAAGCAAACACUGAAGAGAAGUGAAGAAGAAUCAACUUUCUGGUAACAGCUUUCUGAUUUCUUCUUUCAGGUUGCUGAGAAAAACCAUGAACAAAGUCGAUAUGAAUAAUGUUGUUUAAUUUUGCACUUUAUUGAUGAGUCCUUGUUGCCAUUAUUCAUGACAAUGAUUUGAGAAUUAAACGCUUUUGUUUCUUGUUAUAUGUACUUUGGCUUGUCUAUCCCCCCCAUAUGCAU
rnacentral:lncRNA from 1 species